UGAUGCUUCUUUUUAAGUGAAGGAAAACUGCUAGCACAGCUGCAUACUGAGGUGGAUUUACACCUUUCACUUUUUUUUUUUUUCUUUAUAUGACGAAUUUCUCAAAAGCUGUAUAGAAGAAUGAGUUAACUGCUGAUGCAUGAAGGCAAACGAAGACACUGCCUUACACUUAAUGGCAGCCUAUGGACAACCCUUUACUUUAGAGCCAUUUUUUUUCUGGGGAGACAUUGUCAAGACGGGAAGAGUCUUGAGUUGCACCUGCCUGCAUUCUUGCUCGCUAGCGGACAGUCUUCAGAACAAGUUGGAUCUUCAAAAUUGAAUUUUCUACUUGAAAACACAGUUAAAUCUUGUGACAGGAAAAGUCACCACCUUCAAAUGGGAUAACAAUUUUAUUUAAAAAAUCUCUCACUGCAGAGAUCAAACCCUUUGCCUUGUAAACAGGCUGGAGAAAACAUUGCCAAAAUGAUUAAAAGGUCUUUGAAAGUGUAAUUCUAACAAUCAAAAACAAAUUAACUACCAGUUAACAUGAUUAUGUGCAUUAAAAGUGACUAUAACGUGUGAAACCUGCAGUUUCGUAUGAUGUAAGUUCAUAAAAAGGAGACAUCAAAGAAACCCACAACUGUAAAAUGUUAAAAAAUAUUUGGAAAAUUAACUGAAGGUUGGACUGUAGAUGAUUAGAAUUUAUUUGAAAAUUCUUUUAAAGAGAUGUUUUCAUUAAAAUCGAGUCAGAACACUUGCUUUGGUGACUUUAAU
rnacentral:lncRNA from 1 species